UACGAAGGGGGGCAAGCGUUUGUUCGGAAUUACUGGGCGUAAAGCGUGCGUAGACGGUUAUGUAAGUCAGAUGUGAAAGCCCCGGGCUCAACCUGGGAAUUGCAUUUGAGACUGCAUAGCUAGGGUGCGGAAGAGGGAAGCGGAAUUUCCGGUGUAGCGGUGAAAUGCGUAGAUAUCGGAAGGAACACCAGUGGCGAAAAGCGGCUUCCUGGUCCAGCACCGACGUCAGGCACGAAAGCGUGGGGAGCAAACAGG
rnacentral:rRNA from 1 species